rnacentral:rRNA from 1 species
UACAGAGGUCCCAAGCGUUGUUCGGAUUCAUUGGGCGUAAAGGGUGCGUAGGCGGCGCGGUAAGUCGGGUGUGAAAUCUCGGGGCUUAACUCCGAAACUGCAUUCGAUACUGCCGUGCUUGAGGACUGGAGAGGAGACUGGAAUUUACGGUGUAGCGGUGAAAUGCGUAGAUAUCGUAAGGGAAGACCAGUGGCGAAGGCGGGUCUCUGGACAGUUCCUGACGCUGAGGCACGAAGGCCAGGGGAGCAAACGGG